rnacentral:ncRNA from 1 species
AACCUUUGGACUUUUUUCCUGAGAAAUCGGUUUGGACUGAAUCUGAACGAUUUUAUUCUGUUGUUCACUCAGAACCUGUGAAACGCGUGGUUGUUUUAUCUUGUAUUUACAGGCAAUAGCACUUCGAGUGUACAUAAAAUUGCACCAUUUUACUAUGUAAAAGAGAACUUUUAGUGGGACCAGCCUCUGGGUAGUUUGAAAGGUUUGGUUUUCGGAACGCGAUGUAAUGAUUAAGAAAGACAGACAAGGUCAUGCAGACUGUGCCAUUAGAGGUGAAGUACUUUGAUCGGCAGAAGACGAAUAACUGCGAAAGCAUUUGCCAGGAAUGUUUUCUUUAAUCAAAAGGAAAAGUCAGAGGUUUAAAGGUCGCUGAGUAAUUUGAAGGGUUACCGCCUUUCAGCCCAUAAGUUGCAGGUUUGAACCUGGUCAGUUGGUCCU